CCGGUUUAUUACAUCGGUUCUUUAAUUAGUUUUACAAACCAGAAACAACAAUUCGGGUUCGAGGAUUGCAUCGUCGUCAACACCGUAUGAUUGUCUGAUCUGGGUUUUUUAUUUUCUAAAGAACUUUCAGAGUUCUUUGAUUGGAAUCUAGUGGAUAAAAAUGGAGAGAUGAAUAACGAUUUCAGAGUUCAAUCAUGUAGAGAAAGGCAAAAGAAAAACAAAAGAGAGGUAAUUUAGAUUACCUCAUUUAGGUCUAUCCAACCACAGCGGUGGAAGACGACAACAUCCGACGAGGAGUUUGAGUCAACCUCGGGAGAAAGGGCGCUCCAGAUUAAACUGGGAAGGUUUACAUUCCACUACGGGAAGAAGAUGCGCCCGGAGGCGGCUUAGUAGACCAUCCUCGAGGCUUAGUGCUCGGAGGACGGUAGAAGUUUCACGAGCAAUGAUGCUCGGACAGUAGAAGGUUCUCGAGGCAUAUGAUGCUCGGAUGAAGCCAACUUGGGUACCAAUAUUGCUCGAACCCUGGUGGGAGUCGUGCUCAGCUGAGCCUCAACCACCUUGACCAGGUUCGAAUUGGUGUCCU
rnacentral:lncRNA from 1 species